GAUGAACGCUGGCGGCGUGCCUAAUACAUGCGAGUCGAGCGAACAGACGAGGAGCUUGCUCCUCUGACGUUAGCGGCGGACGGGUGAGUAACACGUGGAUAACUUACCUAUAAGACUGGGAUAACUUCGGGAAACCGGAGCUAAUACCGGAUAAUAUAUUGAACCGCAUGGUUCAAUAGUGAAAGACGGUUUUGCUGUCACUUAUAGAUGGAUCCGCGCCGCAUUAGCUAGUUGGUAAGGUAACGGCUUACCAAGGCAACGAUGCGUAGCCGACCUGAGAGGGUGAUCGGCCACACUGGAACUGAGACACGGUCCAGACUCCUACGGGAGGCAGCAGUAGGGAAUCUUCCGCAAUGGGCGAAAGCCUGACGGAGCAACGCCGCGUGAGUGAUGAAGGUCUUCGGAUCGUAAAACUCUGUUAUUAGGGAAGAACAAAUGUGUAAGUAACUAUGCACGUCUUGACGGUACCUAAUCAGAAAGCCACGGCUAACUACGUG
rnacentral:rRNA from 1 species